GCUUCGGGGCAGGGUGUAAUUCCCUACCGGCAGUAUAGUCUGCGAGCGGCUUUGCCGCAUGAAUGGGUGAAAUUCCCAUACCGACAGUUAAAGUCUGGAUGGAAGAAG
rnacentral:ncRNA from 2 species